AAAUCAAGUUGAGCGGGUCUCAUCGAAUUUUCUGGUAUUUUUGACGAAAAUAUGCAACCAGUGAUCAGUUGAUUUAAUACCUUUUCAUCUACCGGUAGAUUUAAGGAGGUUAUUGCUUGGAAAACUGCUCGAGCUCCCGGGCUGGCAAUUGGCAUGCACUGCAGUGCAGGUUCUAGUGAAAUCAAUUAUGCAGUUUCUUGAAGGAAAAAAGUCAUGGAUGACAACAAUGUAUGAUUUACCAGACCAAGGGAUACCAAUGUUUUUUGACGGUACUUGCUCCACCUACUCAGCUUACUGUGAGAGAGUUAACACCUUAUUGACAGAUCUUUCAAGAAGAAGAAACACUUGAGAAGGGUUCAAUAGUUUAAUUUUAUAGAUGGCAAGUAUUGCUUAGACCUAAAGUAUUCUUUAAUUGUGAAGAAAACAAAC